AUCUUCCUCCUCAUCCCCCUCCUCCUUCUCUUCCUCCUCCUUCCCCUCCCCCUUGCACACUGUCUUCUUCCCCAAGUUAUCAGACGCAGUAGUGGAUAGAUCUGUGGCGCACGUCGAUCAGGUGGCGCGAAGUUAUGUCCAGGGCCUGUGAGGUGGCUGGCAACAAGCGUGUCUGGCUUCCUGACGGACUGACGGGCUGCCCGGCUGACGUGGAGUGCCGCCCCGACGUUCUCCCUUUUUCGGCAAGUUGGUGAUCAGGGCCACACACCCACACCCUCCUGGUGCCUCUGCUGCCGCGCCGGUCAUCGUGGAGAAGGCCCCUCAGGCUCGUAUCGACAAGAAGUAUUUGGUUCCUUUGCCAGUCGGUCAAUUCUACUUCCUCAUGCGCAAGAGAAUUCCCCUGAGACCCGAGGAUGCCCUCAUCUUCUUCGUCAACAAUGUGAUUCCUCCCACCAGCGCCACCAUGGGAUCGCUCUACCAGGGAAGGAACCGAGCUAAGACCAGACUCUGCCCUCCAGUGAGCCCAGGAGACCACCGAGGGACAACGACGCACCUCAUGGCAUGGGGGAGGACGGAUGGAGAUGGUGGACUCUUGCAGGGAGGGAGACAGAGACGAGACCACUGAGCCGAAGGAACCAGUCAGGCCUUCAAGAUGCUGCCUGGAUGCUGGGGGAGACCAGACGAGACGAGUCCUGUUGGGGAGAAGAUGGAGGGAGAUUAAUUGAAGGGCAGAGAUGAGAGAGAGAUGGAACUAACUCUCUCUCCCUGUAUUUUUAUAAAGAGAAGACUAAUAAAGUUUGGAAAUAUA